GCCUCCAUCGUCUAACGGUUAGGACGUGGCCCUUUCAAGGCCAAAACAGGGGUUCGAUUCCCCUUGGAGGCA
rnacentral:tRNA from 2 species